rnacentral:tRNA from 1 species
GCCCGCAUAGCUCAGCUGGUAGAGCAACGCAUUUGUAAUGCGUAGGUCGUCGGUUCGAGUCCGACUGCGGGCU